rnacentral:miRNA from 1 species
CCUCCGCCUCGCCGCUUCGCCGU